CCAAUCCCCGAUCUGCCGCGUGUGUGCUGUGUGACCUCGGUUUCUGCUGAUGAAGAGUAACUCCUUUCCUGAUCAUCACACACCAGGCUGGUCUGUCUUCUGGAGUUUUCUCCCAACCAUCCAUUUCAACAUUAUUAUUUAAGAGGAUGUUUCUCUGUGAUUGUAAAAGGUUUGUUUUGCUUUCUCUGCCGCCGGAUGUCCUAUUUCGGUUCACCUUAUGUGUGUACCUGUGUUGUUUCCGAACAUGAGGCAACUGUCUGUGAGAUCCUG